GCCUGGGUGGCUCAGUCGGUUAAGUGUCCAACUUCAGCUCAGGUCAUGAUCUCACGGUUCGUGGGUUCAAGCCCCACCUCAGGCU
rnacentral:tRNA from 1 species